rnacentral:lncRNA from 1 species
GUCCGUCGUCCGUCGUCGUCGUCCGUCGUUUUCGUCCGUCGCUAACUUUUACAAAAAUCUUUUCCUCUGAAACUACUGGGCCAAAUUUAACCAAACUUGGCCACAAUCAUCAUUGGGGUAUCUAGUUUAAAAAUGUGUCGGUGACGCCGCUACCACCAAGAUGGCCGCCAUGGCUAAAAUAGAAAUAAGGGUAAAUGCAGUGUUUUUUUAACUCAAACCAAAGCAUUUAGAGCAAAUCUGACGGGGUAAAAUUGUUUAUCAGGUCAAGAUCUAUCUGCCCUGAAAUUUUCAGAUGAAUUGGACAACCCGUUGUUGGGGUGCUGCCCCUGAAUUGGUAAUUUUAGGGAAAUUUUGCUGUUUUUGGUUAUUAUCUUGAAGAUUAUUAUAGAUAGAGAUAAACUGUAAACAGCAAUAAUGUUCAGCAAAGUAAGAUUUACAAAUAAGUUAGCAUGACCAAAAUGGUCAGUUGACCCCUUUAGGAGUUAUUGCUCUUUAUAGUCAAUUUU